GAAACCACACACACUCCGUGGUUUUCUGGCUAUAAUCUUGUUGCAGAUCUGUGUAGAAAUAGAUCGUUGCUGUCAAUCAAAUAAGGGCUAUGACAGAAAUUUGAGAUAAGACUUUGACUACAUCAUAAUGGCAAGCAGCCUAAGAACCCCUUGGAGAGUUCUUGCAAGCAGCUCGCUGCACACCAGAAUCUCCUUUUGAGUAGGGACACCUCUCAAGAUGCAGAGAUUCACCCAGGACAUAGUGACGUCUUGCUGACAGAUCCUCGACACAACUAUAUAAAGCACUGGUUCAGUGCUUUAAUAAUCUUCGGCAAGUUACAGUAUGGUGCGGAAUGACUUUUGGUCUCCUAGAGCUGGUUGAGAAUUAAAUGUACCGCCCACAGAAACCUAAAAUCCCAGGAACAUGGACUGUUUUUACCGACACAAUUGCUAAGAAAGAUUUCUCUUCUGUGGCUGAGAUUUCCAUGUUAGAAAACUCCCUUUUACCUGGACUCAUGGUUCUGCUCUUAAAAGAAUUGGGAUGUGAGAAAGGAUAGUGAGCAUUGUUCCUGUGGAAGCUCCAUAUCAGACCUGGAGGUUCAGAAGAAGAAAUUAUUCCUUCGCAUUUGGAAACAAUAUCAGAAUUGAUUUCUUGGUGCAUCAGAAGCUCCAGAUGUGUCAGAGAGAUGGUGGAAGAAUAUGCCUUGGGCAAGGCAAAAACUUGCUUCUGGGCUCCGUGAUCGGUCCUUCCCCCAUACAGAACAACUGAGAGCUUGUUUUCCGUGUGCAUCUGUGACAGAAAAAAACUUCACGUUUGCCACGAAAAAUGGAUCAACAUCUGGAG